GUAGGGUGCGAGCGUUAAUCGGAAUUACUGGGCGUAAAGGGUGCGCAGGCGGCCCCGCAAGUCAGGCGUGAAAUCCCCGAGCUUAACUUGGGAAUUGCGUUUGAAACUACGAGGCUGGAGUGUGGCAGAGGGAGGUGGAAUUCCACGUGUAGCGGUGAAAUGCGUAGAUAUGUGGAGGAACACCGAUGGCGAAGGCAGCCUCCUGGGCCAACACUGACGCUCAUGCACGAAAGCGUGGGGAGCAAACAGGAUUAGAUACCCUGGUAGUCCACGCCCUAAACUAUGUCUACUAGUUGUUGGGGGAGUUAAAUCCCUUAGUAACGCAGCUAACGCGAGAAGUAGACCGCCUGGGGAGUACGGUCGCAAGAUUA
rnacentral:rRNA from 1 species